rnacentral:rRNA from 1 species
GCUUGUCUCAAAGAUUAAGCCAUGCAUGUCUAAGUAUAAACAAAUCUAUACUGUGAAACUGCGAAUGGCUCAUUAUAUCAGUUAUAGUUUAUUUGAUGGUCCUUGCUACUUGGAUAACCGUAGUAAUUCUAGAGCUAAUACAUGCAUCAAGCCCCGACUUCUGGAAGGGGUGUAUUUAUUAGAUGGAAACCAAUGCGGGGCAACCCGGUAUAUGGUGAUUCAUAAUAACUUUCGGAUCGAUUUAUCGAUGCAUCAUUCAAGUUUCUGCCCUAUCAGCUUUCGAUGGUAGUGUAUUGGACUACCAUGGCAGUCACGGGUAACGGAGAAUUAGGGUUCGGUUCCGGAGAGGGAGCCUGAGAAACGGCUACCACAUCUAAGGAAGGCAGCAGG